rnacentral:rRNA from 1 species
UACGUAGGGGGCAAGCGUUGUCCGGAAUCAUUGGGCGUAAAGCGCGCGUAGGCGGCCACCGCAAGUCGACUGUGAAAUCUCCGGGCUUAACCCGGAAAGGUCAGCCGAUACUGCGGGGCUAGAGUGCAGAAGGGGCAACUGGAAUUCUCGGUGUAGCGGUGAAAUGCGUAGAUAUCGAGAGGAACACCUGCGGCGAAGGCGGGUUGCUGGGCUGAUACUGACGCUGAGGCGCGAAAGCCAGGGGAGCGAACGGG